AGAUCAGACAGCUACCCGAAGGCCUGCAAAUGGCCAACCGUGGUGCAGGUGUCUGUCCUAGGUACUGGAACUAGCGACACGGAGCUGUGGGAGUUUGCCCCUUGGCCGGACGACCUAGACGUCAGAGGAACGAGGGUUAUUUGGCCCGGAGACAAUUAGACCUAGAGGAAUUACUGUACCAAGAAAGUAAUUCCUCUUCUAAGCACUCGUUGCCUGGUGUCUCCGUGCUACGGACGGAGCUCUGACACCUUUGGAAGAUCCUGAAAGAGAAAGAUGACAGAUGAGAAACGUCAGGUCUUCCUACCACCGAGGACUCGUGAGGGGCCUGAUGGAUUUUUGGCAACCAGCCUUCAACCCUAUGAAUGGAAAGUCGGUAGAACUUGUUAGCUCUUGCUUCCGUCUUGGUUCUCCAUUUACCAUGGAGGCAAACUGGAGGAAGUAACCUGAGACUCUGGGCUCAUUUUCCUCCCCUGGGUUCAAGUUGGAGAAAACAACACUAAUUACAUUUCUAACAGCAGCAAAUAAAUUUGAAAGUAAA